GGGUCAGUAGGUUGGUCGUGCCACCGGUACGUACUGUUCUCACUGAUUCCUCCUUCCUGAAGAACCGUAAUGCCAUUAAUUUGGUGUUGCGGGGAAACAGGACUGUUACUUUGAAAAAAUUAGAGUGUUUAAAGCAAGCUAACGCUUGAAUACAUUAGCAUGGAAUAAUGAAAUAGGACGAUCGAUCCUGUUUUGUUGGUUUCUAGGAUUGACGUA
rnacentral:rRNA from 1 species